rnacentral:lncRNA from 1 species
AGUCACACACAGCAGUGGCCCUUAGGGUUGAGGUGCCUUCUGCAGCUCCCACACCCUCGCUGACAGACCUCUCUUUCCUCUCUGGAGCUGUGCUUCAUUUGCUGCUGGGCGAAACUCAGUCUUGCUGCAAAUUUGGCGCCUGCCUGUGUGUGUGUAAUUGGGUUGGAUUUACAUUAAGAGGGUUCCCUGUGGUGAAAACCACACUGCUAUUUCCAAUCUGAAGCUGCAUAAAACAUUCAAUUUUCUAAGUAUCCGUCAGCUGUUAGCACUGUGGAAAACGUAGUCUGCCUGGAUGGAUGGGAGGCUCCCACUCAGUCCUGUAAACCCUCCGAUUAUUUGUGCUAACAGAGGGGAUAAUAUUAUAUGGUUGUGGAUAAUGAAGCGUUAUUCAUCUAAGCAUCCACUCAUUCAUUCAAGGAACACAUUUGAGAAACUGGUGUGUGCCAGGCACUGUUCUGAGUGUCUAAUCAGAUCACAUCUCUCCUCAGUUAAAAGCCCUUCAAACUGACUUCUUGUUGCAUAAUCUAAACCAAGGGCCAGCAAACUUCUUUUUUUUUGUAAAGGGCAUGAUAGAACAUAGUUUAGGUUUUGUGGGCAAUGAGGUAUCUGUAGCAACUAUUCAAUUCUGACAUGGCACCUUGAAAGCAGCCAUAGACAAUGUGCCUAUGAAUGAGUGUGGCUGUGUU